ACUUUAUCAGGAGGGUAAAGAUCAUAAUACCUAAAGGAAAAUAUUUGGGUGGGCCUAAAAGCAGCCACCCCCUCAGAAAGCGUUAAAGCUCAAAUAUAACACAAACCCUUCUUAUUCUGAUCACCAAAUCUUAUCCCCCUAGACAUAAUGAACCGCCCCAUGCAUGCAUGGGGGUGACUAUGCUAAUAUGAGUAAUAAGAGGGCCCCUGGCCCUCUCCCUGCACACAUGUACAUCGGAACGGACAUCCCGCCGACCAUUAACGGCCCCAAACAAAGAGGGCACUGAAUAAUAGACUAAACAACAAGAAGAACAUUCAGGAAACAACCGUUAAACCCACACAGGUGUGCCCACAGGGAAAGGCUAAAAGAAAAAGAAGGAACUCGGCAAACACACACAAGCCUCGCCUGUUUACCAAAAACAUCGCCUCUUGCAAACAUAACAAAUAAGAGGUCCCGCCUGCCCUGUGACUAUUAGUUUAACGGCCGCGGUAUUUUGACCGUGCGAAGGUAGCGCAAUCACUUGUCUUUUAAAUGAAGACCUGUAUGAAUGGCAUAACGAGGGCUUAACUGUCUCCUUUUUCCAGUCAAUGAAGUUGAUCUUCCCGUGCAGAAGCGGGAAUACAAACAUAAGACGAGAAGACCCUAUGAAGCUUUAGACACCAAGGCAGAUCAUGUUAAUAACCCUAAAUAAAGGCUUAAACCAAAUGAAACCUGCCCGAAUGUCUUUGGUUGGGGCGACCGCGGGGCAUUGAAAAACCCCCACGUGGAGUGGGAGCACCCCUCCUACAACUAAGAGCCACAGCUCUAGUAAACAGAAAUUCUGACCAGCAAGAUCCGGC
rnacentral:rRNA from 1 species